GCAUUCUUAGCUCAGUUGGAUGGAGCAGCAACCUUCGAAGUUGGAGGUCGCAGGUUCAAAUCCUGUAGAAUGCG
rnacentral:tRNA from 2 species